rnacentral:tRNA from 1 species
GGGGAUAUAGCUCAGGGGUAGAGUAUGUGCUUAGUAUGCACAAGGUCCUAGGUUCAAUCCCCAGUAGCUUUG